GAUGCUACGCUACCGCCCGGCUCUCUGCGGGCUCCACCCCUAGGCAACCGGGUUUGGACCCACAGCACUCGGACCCCAGCUUGGAGUUCGGCUCCACCCCCCUCAACACUCAGUCCCCGCCCUCUGUCCACUCCCCGCCAGCAUAGCUGUGGCUCUGGUGCUAUGGCGCUCAGAGGACCCGAACCACUGGGCUGACGUCCUAGCGCGCCGCGACCACGUGUGGCGGGUGCGCGCUGGAGCUCGGGGACGUCUAGAAGCCCUGGACCGCUGGUAUCGGGAGGAGCUCCCUGUGGCUAUUAAAGGACUAGAGGAGAAGCACGUGACACGAGAAGACCUGACACAGCUGCUGGAACGGAAGCUGGCGGUGAGGCGUGGGACUCUCUAAGCUUGCGGCCAUGGGGCGGAGCUUCUGGGGAUCGGACUUGCUCUGGGGCGGGGCCUCAGUAGGCAGGCUUCCCUGGAGAGUGCCAGCCCCCGGGAUCUUUUGACCCCACGGUCAUCAGAAGGGUGGAUUUCGGCCACGGCUGCAGCAACUGGUGGCCGCUAAUCCCCCGGAGCUGGUGGUACAGUGCUAGACCGCCGCAUUCCGCAUUCUGCCGGACGUCCACGCCGCAAUCAUCAAGUUGUGUACACUCCGCGGCGUGGGCCCUGCCACUGCGUGGGCCGCCCUUGCAGCCGGAGCCCCUGAGGCGGCGGCUUUCACGUCCGAUGAGGCGGUAGCUGCGGUGCCUGGCCUGCUGGCCCUGCAGUACACUCUCAAACACUAUUUGCUGUACCUGGGCCAGGUGCAAGAACGCGCUGCAACCCUGACCCAAGGUGAGCCGACUACUGGGGGCUAGCUGGGAUGGCACCCAGGACGCCAUGCCAUCAGGGUGCUGGUGGCCAGUGCCCUUGAACCCCAGAGCCCUUGUGGUUCUCACUAGUGAGUGCCUCAGAGAUGUGGACCCCCCACCUUGUGGAGACAGCGCUGUGGACCUGGGCUGUGGGGCAGAAGGUCUGCCCGGACCUGCUGUCUGAACUCCAACUCUGCUCUAGCUGGACCACCCAGGAGGACUGUAGGCCUACCAAGAAGCACAAGAUUCAGGCCAAGUGAACUUGGCUCUGGUGUGGGGCCUGCUCACCCACCCUUGCAAGAGAAGCUGAAAAAACAGGAGGCUGAAAGCCCCUGGAGCACAAACACUGAACUUGGCCUGAUCCAGAAGUGUACAGUCUCUUUCCAGGGGCCCCUCCUCCUUGCAGGGACACUGGUCCUGGUCCUGAGAAGUAAAGCCAACACCUCAUGCCAAA